CCGGAAGUGACUGGUAUGCUCUUGCUGUUGAUAAUCUUUGGCAACUCGGCGCACUCCUCCUCUGUCACGUGACCGCCGCGGUCCAAUUAGUGGUGCUUAUAAGCCGGUAGCAGGAAGUAGCUAGGAUACAGGACAUGAGAUCGAUUACAUUUCUGCUCGAGAGCCGACUUCCAGCGCCAGAUUCUUUGUCAUUAAGCCGUGUUUGACUGUAGAAGCUCAAUUGGCCAGGCUUCUCUUUUUGAUGGUGAGCUAAGGAAAAUAAUCACCUAGUCCAAGGAUCAAGUUUGGAAGAUUCCAGCCAGGAUCCUCACCAUCUGUCUGGGCUGGUAGGAGGCUCUCGAGCCGACCCUUUACAAUUUUCACCUUUUACCUGCAGCACUUGGACUGUAUUGCCAUCCUUUUUUUUCCCCCCCAAGAACAACUAACUGAACUGAGAUUUAAACAAGAUCCAGAGUCACUGAUUAGUUCAAAUGGAAUUGUAUUUAUGUUUAUAGUACUUGUGUUUUUCCCUUUUAAAUUACUUUCAUGUUGAAUGGCCAUUCAACUCAUUGUGUGUGUGUAUAUAUCUGCUGUCCAUCACUAAUUCUCUAACGCACGGUGUCAACCAAACUACAAUUCAAGCUCUGCCACUCUAUGAGUUGAAACUAGUCUUCUGUUCCUAGCCCAUAACACCCCAUAUAUAUAUUUAUUGCAUUGCUUUGUAGCACGUAUAGGUUACACAUGGAAGCCAAAUAUUUCAAAAUGUAUUUCCGUGAGAGCCAUAUCAUAUUAUUUAACACUGAAUACAACUAAAUGCGUGCAUUUUUAAGAUCAACAUUUUGAGAGUAUAAUACGUCUCUAAUUGUUUUGAACAACAUUGUUAUUCUAAAGUUAACCAGUAAUAAAUAAAAUACUUCUUACCAUUAAUGCGACAUCUUGAACAGUUGCGAUGGAAAACGGAUCAAUCAAUCAAUCAAUCAAUGUUUACUUAUAUAGCCCUAAAUCACUAGUGUCUCAAAGGGCUGCACAAACCACUACGACAUCCUCGGUCGGCCCACAUAAGGGCAAGGAAAACUCACACCCAGUGGGACGUCGGUGACAAUGAUGACUAUGAGAACCUUGGAGAGGAGGAAAGCAAUGGAUGUCGAGCGGGUCUAACAUGAUACUGUGAAAGUUCAAUCCAUAAUCGAUCCAACACAGUCGCAAGAGUCCAGUCCAAAGCGGAUCCAACACAGCAGCGAGAGUCCCGUUCACAGCGGAGCCAGCAGGAAACCAUCCCAAGCGUAGGCGGAUCAGCAGCGCAGAGAUGUCCCCAGCAGAUACACAUGGCCACCGGAUCGGACCGGACCCCCUCCACAAGGGAGAGUGGGACAUAGGAGAAAAAGAAAAGAAACGGCAGAUCAACUGGUCUAAAAAGGGAGUUAUAAGUAAAGGUAAGACCAGAAUAACAUUAUUUUUAUUAAAUGUGCUUUUUUGUGUGCUAGUUUGUAUGUGUAAAGAAUGCUGGUAAGAGCUUUUAAACAUAACCCGUUAACUGCUGCCAAUCAAAUGGUGAAUAAGAUACUUUUUAGGGUUCAUAUGUUUAUAAAUCUGACUGUGAUGAAGUCAGUGCCUCACCAGCCAUGAACCUCACCGCACGUCACUGCUUCAAGGUACUCCAAGUGGCCUAGUGGUUAGAUGUCCCCAACCGAUACACAGGCGAGCGGUCCAUCCUGGGUCCCGACGAGCGGUCCAUCCUGGGUCUCGCCUCUGGACAGCCAGUACUUCAUCCAUGGUCAUCGGACCGGACCCCCUUGUCAAGGGAGGGGGGGGCAUUGGAGAAAAAGAAAAGAAGCGGCAGAUCAACUGGUCUAAAAAGGGAGUCUAUUUAAAGGCUAGAGUAUACAAAUGAGUUUUAAGGUGAGACUUAAAUGCUUCUACUGAGGUGGCAUCUCGAACUGUUACCGGGAGGGCAUUCCAGAGUACUGGAGCCCGAACGGAAAACGCUUUAUAGCCCGCAGACUUUUUUUGGGCUUUGGGAAUCACUAAUAAGCCGGAGUCCUUUGAACGCAGAUUUCUUGCCGGGACAUACGGUACAAUACAAUCGGCAAGAUAGGAUGGAGCUAGACCGUGUAGUAUUUUAUACGUAAGUAGUAAAACCUUAAAGUCACAUCUUAAGUGCACAGGAAGCCAGUGCAGGUGAGCCAGUACAGGCGUAAUGUGAUCAAACUUUCUUGUUCUUGUCAAAAGUCUAGCAGCCGCAUUUUGUACCAACUGUAAUCUUUUAAUGCUAGACAUGGGGAGACCCGAAAAUAAUACGUUACAGUAAUCGAGACGUAACAAACGCAUGGAUAAUGAUCUCGGCGUCUUUAGUGGACAAAAUGGAGCGAAUUUUAGCGAUAUUACGGAGAUGAAAGAAGGCCGUUUUAGUAACGCUUUUAAUGUGUGCCUCAAAGGAGAGAGUUGGGUCAAAGAUAACACCCAGAUUCUUUACCGUGUCGCCUUGUUUAAUUGUUUGGUUGUCAAAUGUUAGAGUUGUAUUAUUAAAUAGAGGUCGGUGUCUAGGAUGGCAGGAUUAAAAUGCAUGAGAAUGUUUUGUAACUUUAACGUUAUUUUAAAAACUGUGAUUACCAGCGGAAUUAUUCAUGACUUAUCGUGUUAAGCAAUGUCAGCUAAGAUUUAUCUGAGAACCAGAUGCAGUCAUCAAAAGAGCCACAUCUGGCUCUAAAGCCAUAGGUUCCCUAACCCUGUAUUGUACUGUAAAUUAUUUCAAUCAAUCAAUCAAUCAAUGUUUACUUAUAUAGCCCUAAAUCACUAGUGUCUCAAAGGGCUGCACAAACCACUACGACAUCCUCGGUAGGCCCACAUAAGGGCAAGGAAAACUCACACCCAGUGGGACGUCGGUGACAAUGAUGACUAUGAGAACAUGAUACUGUGAUACUGAUGAUACUGAUGACUAUGAGAACAUAUGAGAACAUGAUACUGUGAAAGAUCAAUCCAUAAUGGAUCCAACACAGUCGCGAGAGUCCAGUCCAAAGCGGAUCCAACACAGCAGCGAGAGUCCCGUUCACAGCGGAGCCAGCAGGAAACCAUCCCAAGCGGAGGCAGAUCAGCAGCGCAGAGAUGCCCCCAGCCGAUACACAGGCGAGCAGUACAUGGCCACCGGAUCGGACCGGACUCCCUCCACAAAGGAGAGUGGGACAUAGAAGAAAAAGAAAAGAAACGGCAGAUCAACUGGUCUAAAAAGGGAGUCUAUUUAAAGGCUAGAGUAUACAAAUGAGUUUUAAGGUAAGACUUAAAUGCUUCUAAUGAACGGAGUAUUUCUCGGUGAACCAAAUGUUAUUCAAAUGCAAAACGACACAUGCAUGGUGGCUGUGACUGACAUUGUCCUUGCAGCUGGGGUAGGUUCCAACAGCCUUUUGUCUGGAUGUCGCAUGCAUGAAUUUAUUCAUGUUGCUACCAGUGGCAACAAAGUAAGCUGCAGGGGGGAGGAUUAUGUGACAUGUGUCCAUGCAGUGACUCUGUACUCCACCACUAUCUCUUCUAGCUCACCUUGGUCCUGUUCAAUUGUCUGGAGGGGGGUGUUCUGUCCACUUGACUGAUGUGUGCGAGGUAUUCUCUCGACGAGUUUCAAGAGGUUCACCUGAAAUGGGAACACAAAUUGAGAUGUAUGUGUGAGGCUUGUGUGGCAUUGUAAUGCCGGAUUGGUUCUUCCAGGGAUGCGUCGAAGCGGUGAACACAACAAGAACACACGCUGCUGAUUGCAGAAAGUAAGCCCAGCCUGUUAAUCCUGGUGACCAGAAGAUACAUCAGCGUUUGCUUGAAAGAAGUGACGUUUACCAGCUGCUGCAGAGACUCCCCCGUAUGGAGGCAGCCUGAUCGUGUUCUGCCGUCAGAAGUCGCUGCCGCCCCAACAAUGCCUGGAUGUUGGCCAUUUGAUGCAAGGAGACUUGUCCCCCGAGAGGGGGCCGGAGUGUUGUAAGGGGGCUAUUUGUGGAGCCUGCCAUCACUGCAUAGGGGUGCUGACAUUUGAGGCCAUUUUCAGGUGGCCUGUCAUUUGUGUACAAUGUAGGUGCUCUGACAGUCAAUACUAUUAUUACACCGUUUUUUAAUUAAAAUGUUAAAAAAAAUAUGGUAAAUUGCAAUAAUUUCACCUCAAAAUGUAGUGUAUAUAAUUGUAAAUGGAAAAAAAAGUAUUAACAUUUUUUUUUACUGUAAAUUAAAAAAAAACUGCAAUUUUACAGUAAAAUGUUUGCACCUGAGUUGCCAAUUUUUAUUUUUUAUUUUUUUUUAUACCGCAAAUCAACAACUGUACAUUUUUUGGUGUAUUAAUGUAAAUGCCAAAAUGAAACCACAGUUUAUUACAGUAAAAAAAGUACCGUUAUUUUUUAUUCAGAGAAAAAUGCUGUAAAAAACCACAGUAAAUUUCACAAUUUUACCUUGAAAGUUAUUGCUACUUUUACAUUGCACAAUUUGAUGGAUAACUGGCUUUGAAAUCCUUUUUUUUAGUAUUUAUUUAUAUUUAAAAAUGGUUUGAACGUUUGAUAAUGCAUAAUUAAACAUUUUUCACUGAGGGCCACAUAUCAGUUAUGUUUGGCCCCAGAGGGGCGCUUCUAUUAUUAUUAUUAUUACAUAAUUUUUUCAAUGCAUUUUAUUAGUAGAUUUUUUUUUUAAAUUAAAAUGUAAAAAAAAAAGAUGGCAAAUUGCAAUAAUUUCACCUCAAAAUGUGGUGUAUAUAAUUGUAAAUGGGAAAAAUAAUAUUGCUGUUUUCAUGGUAAAACAUUUUUUUUGUUGUUAAUUAAAAAAACUGCAAUUUUACAGUAAAAUGUUUGCACCUGAGCUGCCAAUUUUUUUUUUUUUUUUUAAUACCGCAAAUCAACAACUGUACAUUUUUUGGUGUAUUACUGUAAAUGCCAAAAUGGCACCACAGUUUAUUACAGUAAAAAAAAAAAAAAGAAACAUUUUUUUAUAUUUAGAGAAAAAUGCAGUAAAAACCACAGUAAAUUUCACAAUUUUACCUUGAAAUCUAUUGCUACUUUUACAUUGCACGAUUUGAUGGAUAACUGGCUUUGAAAUCCUUCUUUUUAGUAUUUAUUUAUAUUUAAAAAUGGUUUGAACGUUUGAUAAUGCAUAAUUAAACAUUUUUCACUGAGGGCCACGUCGCAGUUAUGUUUGGCCCCAGAGGGCCGCUUCUAACAGUGAAUACUAUUAUUACAUCAUUUUUUCAAUGCAUUUUAUUAGUAGUAUUUUUUUUAUUAUUAAAAUGUAAAAAAAAUAUAUGGUAAAUUGCAAUAAUUUCACCUCAAAUUGUGGUGUAUAUAAUUGUAAAUGGGAAAAAAAGUAUUGCUGUUUUCAUGGUAAAAAAAAAUGUUUGUACUGUCAAUUAAAAAAACUGCAAUUUUACAGUAAAAUGUUUGCACCUGAGCUGCCAAUUUUCUUUUUUUUUUUUUAUACCGCAAAUCAACAACUGUACAUUUUUCGGUGUAUUACUGUAAAUGCCAAAAACGGCACCACAGUUUAUUACAGUAAAAAAAAAGUUGUUUUAUUUUUUCAUUUAGAGAAAAAUGCUGUAAAAACCACAGUAAAUUUCACAAUUUUACCAUGAAAUCUAUUGCUACUUUUACAUUGCACAAUUUGAUGGAUAACUGGCUUUGAAAUCAUUUUUUUUAGUAUUUAUUUAUAUUUAAAAAUGGCUUGAACGUUUGAUAAUGCAUAAUUAAACAUUUUUCACUAAGGGCCACAUUGCAGUUAUGUUUGGCCCCAGAGGGCCGCUUCUAACAGUGAAUACUAUUACUACAUCAUUUUUUCAAUGCAUUUUAUUAGUAGAUUUUUUUUUAUUAUUAAAAUGUAAAAAAAAAAUAUGGUAAAUUGUAAUACUUUCACCUCAAAAUGUAGAAAAUGGGAAAAAAAUUAUUGCUGUUUUCAUGGUAGAAAUUUUCUUUUUACUGUAAAUUUAAAAAACUGCAAUUUUACAGUAAAAUGUUUGCACCUGAGCUGCCAAUUUUUUUUAAUUUCUUUUUAUACCGCGAAUCAACAACUGUACAUUUUUCGGUGUAUUACUGUAAAUGCCAAAACUAUACCACAGUUUAUUACAGUAAAAAAAAAAAAAAAAGGAAACAUUUUUUUUCAUUUAGAGAAAAAUGCUGUAAAAACCACAGUAAAUUUCACAAUUUUACCUUGAAAGUUAUUGCUACUUUUACAUUGCACAAUUUGAUGGAUAACUGGCUUUGGAAUCCUUCUUUUUAGUAUUUAUUUAUUUUUAAAAAUGGUUUGAACAUUUGAUAAUGCAUAAUUAAACAUUUUUCACUGAGGGCCACAUCGCAGUUAUGUUUGGCCCCAGAGGGCCGCUUCUAACAGUGAAUACAUUACUACAUCAUUUUUACAAUGCAUUUUAUUAGUAGAUUUUUUUUUUAAUUAAAAUGUAAAAACAAAUAUGGUAAAUUGUAAUAAUUUCACCUCAAAAUGUGGUGUAUAUAAUUGUAAAUGGGAAAAAAAGUAUUGCUGUUUUCAUGGUAAAAAAUUUUUUUUUACUGUCAAUUAGAAAAACUGCAAUUUUACAGUAAAAUGUUUGCACCUGAGCUGCCAAUUUUCUUUUUUUUUUAAUACUGCAAAUCAACAACUGUACAUUUUUCGGUGUAUUACUGUAAAUGCCAAAACGGCACCACAGUUUAUUACAGUAAAAAAAAAAGUACUUUUUUUUUUAAUUUAGAGGAAAAUGCUGUAAAAAACACAGUAAAUUUCACAAUUUUACCAUGAAAUCUAUUGCUACUUUUACAUUGCACAAUUUGAUGGAUAACUGGCUUUAAAAUCCUUUUUUUUAGUAUUUAUUUAUUUUUAAAAAUGGCUUGAACGUUUGAUAAUGCAUAAUUAAACAUUUUUCACUGAGGGCCACAUAUCAGUUAUGUUUGGCCCCAGAGGGCCGCUUCUAACAGUGAAUACUAUUACUACAUCAUUUUUUCAAUGCAUUUUAUUAGUAGAUUUUUUUUUAUUAUUAAAAUGUAAAAAAAAAAUAUGGUAAAUUGCAAUAAUUUCACCUCAAAAUGUGGUGUAUAUAAUUGUAAAUGGAAAAAAAAGUAUUGCUGUUUUCAUGGUAAAAAAAAUUUUUUGUACUGUAAAUUUAAAAAACUGCAAUUUUACAGUAAAAUGUUUGCACCUGAGCUGCCAAUUUUCUUUUUUUUAUAUACCGCAAAUCAACAACUGUACAUUUUUUGGUGUAUUACUGUAAAUGCCAAAAUGGCACCACAGUUUAUUACAGUAAAAAAAAAAAAAGGAAACAUUUUUUUCAUUUAGAGAAAAAUGCAGUAAAAACCACAGUAAAUUUCACAAUUUUACCUUGAAAUCUAUUGCUACUUUUACAUUGCACAAUUUGAUGGAUAACUGGCUUUGAAAUCCUUCUUUGUAGUAUUUAUUUAUAUUUAAAAAUAGUUUGAACGUUUGAUAAUGCUUAAUUAAACAUUUUUCACUGAGGGCCACGUCGCAGUUAUGUUUGGCCCCAGAGGGCCGCUUCUAACAGUGAAUACUAUUACUACAUCAUUUUUUCAAUGCAUUUUAUUAGUAGAUUUUUUUUAAUCAAAAUGUAAAAAAAAAAAAUGGUAAAUUGCAAUAAUUUCACCUCAAAAUGUGGUGUAUAUAAUUGUAAAUGGGAAAAAAAAUAUUGCUGUUUUCAUGGUUAAAAAAAAUGUUUCUACUGUAAAUUAAAAAAAACCCUGCAAUUUUACAGUAAAAUUUUUCCACCUGAGCUGCCAAUUUUCUUUUUUUUUUAUACCGCAAAUCAACAACUGUACAUUUUUCGGUGUAUUACUGCAAAUUCCAAAACGGCACCAAAGUUUAUUACAGUAAAAAAAAAAAAAGUACCGUUUUUUUUUUAUUUAGAGAAAAUUGCUGUAAAACCCGCAGUAAAUUUCACAAUUUUACCAUGAAAUCUAUUGCUACUUUUACAUUGCACAAUUUGAUGGAUAACUGGCUUUAAAAUCCUUUUUUUUUAGUAUUUAUUUAUAUUUAAAAAUGGCUUGAACGUUUGAUAAUGCAUAAUUAAACACUUUUCACUGAAGGCCACAUAUCAGUUAUGUUUGGCCCCAGAGGGCCGCUUCUAACAGUGAAUACUAUUACUACAUCAUUUUUUCAAUGCAUUUCAUUAGUAUAUUUUUUUUAAAUUAAAAUGUAAAAAAAAAUAUGGUAAAUUGCAAUAAUUUCACCUCAAAAUGUAGUGUAUAUAAUUGUAAAUGGGGAAAAUAAGUAUUGCUGUUUUCAUGGUAAAAAUUUUUUUUUUUACUGUAAAUUAAAAAAAAUGCAAUUUUACAGUAAAAUGUUUGCACCUGAGCUGCCAAUUUUCUUUUUCUUCUUUUUAUACCGCAAAUCAACAACUGUAUAUUUUUCGGUGUAUUACUGUAAAUGCCAAAACGGCACCACAGUUUAUUACAGUAAAAAAAAAAAGGAAACAUUUUUUUCAUUUAGAGAAAAAUGCAGUAAAACCCACAGUAAAUUUCACAAUUUUACCUUGAAAUCUAUUGCUACUUUUACAUUGCACAAUUUGAUGGAUAACUGGCUUUGAAAUCCUUUUUUUUAGUAUUUAUUUAUAUUUAAAAAUGGCUUGAACGUUUGAUAAUGCAUAAUUAAACAUUUUUCACUAAGGGCCACAUCGCAGUUAUGUUUGGCCCCAGAGGGCCGCUUCUAACAGUGAAUACUAUUACUACAUCAUUUUUUCAAUGCAUUUUAUUAGUAGAUUUUUUUUUAUUAUUAAAAUGUAAAAACAAAUAUGGUAAAUUGUAAUAAUUUCACCUCAAAAUGUAGAAAAUGGGAAAAAAAUUAUUGCUGUUUUCAUGGUAGAAUGUUUUUUUUUACUGUAAAUUUAAAAAACUGCAAUUUUACAGUAAAAUGUUUGCACCUGAGCUGCCAAUUUUUUUUUAUUUCUUUUUAUACCGCAAAUCAACAACUGUACAUUUUUCGGUGUAUUACUGUAAAUGCCAAAAUGGCACCACAGUUUAUUACAGUAAAAAAAAAAAAAGGAAACAUUUUUUUCAUUUAGAGAAAAAUGCCGUAAAAACCACAGUAAAUUUCACAAUUUUACCUUGAAAUCUAUUGCUACUUUUACAUUGCACAAUUUGAUGGAUAACUGGCUUUGAAAUCCAUCUUUUUAUUAUUUAUUUAUAUUUAAAAAUGGUUUGAACGUUUGAUAAUGCAUAAUUAAACAUUUUUCACUGAGGGCCACAUAUCAGUUAUGUUUGGCCCCUGAGGGCCGCUUCUAACCGUGAAUACUAUUACUACAUUUUUUCAAUGCAUUUUAUUAGUAGAUUUUUUUUUAAUUAAAAUGUAAAAAAAAAUAUGGUAAAUUGUAAUAAUUUCACCUCAAAAUGUGGUGUAUAUAAUUGUAAAUGGGAAAAAAAGUAUUGCUGUUUUCAUGGUAAAAUUUUUUUUUGUACUGUCAAUUAAAAAAACUGCAAUUUUACAGUAAAAUGUUUGCACCUGAGCUGCCAAUUUUUUUUUAUUUCUUUUUAUACCGCAAAUCAACAACUGUACAUUUUACGGUGUAUUACUGUAAAUGCCAAAACGGCACCAAAGUUUAUUACAGUAAAAAAAAAAAAAAAGUACCGUUUUUUUUCAUUUAGAGAAAAUUGCUGUAAAAAAACGCAGUAAAUUUCACAAUUUUACCAUGAAAUCUAUUGCUACUUUUACAUUGCACAAUUUGAUGGAUAACUGGCUUUGAAAUCCUUCUUUUUAGUAUUUAUUUAUAUUAAAAAAUGGUUUGAACGUUUGAUAAUGCAUAAUUAAACAUUUUUCACUGAGGGCCACAUCGCAGUUAUGUUUGGCCCCAGAGGGCCGCUUCUAACAGUGAAUACAUUACUACAUCAUUUUUUCAAUGCAUUUUAUUAGUAGAUUUUUUUUUUAAUUAAAAUGUAAAAAAAAUAUGGUAAAUUGUAAUAAUUUCACCUCAAAAUGUAGUGUAUAUAAUUGUAAAUGGGAAAAAUAAGUAUUGCUGUUUUCAUUGUAAAAUUGUUUUUUUUUACUGCAAUUUUACAGUAAAAUGAUUGCACCUGAGCUGCCAAUUUUCUUUUUUUUUUUUAUACCGCAGAUCAACAACUGUACAUUUUAGUGUAUUACUGUAAAUGCCAAAACGGCACCACAGUUUAUUACAGUAAAAAAAAAGUUAUGUUUUAUUUUUUCAUUUAGAGAAAAAUGCUGAAAAAAACACAGUAAAUUUCACAAUUUUACCAUGAAAUCUAUUGCUACUUUUACAUUGCACAAUCCUUCUUUUUAUUAUUUAUUUAUAUUAAAAAAUGGUUUGAAUGUUUGAAAAUGCAUAAUUAAACAUUUUUCACUGAAGGCCACAUCGCAGUUAUGUUUGGCCCCAGAGGGCCGCUUCUAACAGUGAAUACUAUUACUACAUCAUCUUUUCAAUGCAUUUUAUUAGUAGAUUUUUUUUUUAAUUAAAAUGUAAAAAAAAAUAUGGUAAAUUGCAAUAAUUUCACCUCAAAAUGUGGUGUACAUAAUUGUAAAUGGAAAAAAAAGUAUUGCUGUUUUCAUGGUAAAACAUUUUUUUUGUACUGUCAAUUAAAAAAACUGCAAUUUUACAGUAAAAUGUUUGCCCCUGAGCUGCCAAUUUUCUUUUUUUUUUAUACCGCAAAUCAACAACUGUACAUUUUUCGGUGUAUUACUGUAAAUGCCAAAAUGGCACCACAGUUUAUUACAGUAAAAAAAAAAAAAGGAAACAUUUUUUUUCAUUUAGAGAAAAAUGCUGUAAAAACCACAGUAAAUUUCACAAUUUUACCUUGAAAUCUAUUGCUACUUUUACAUUGCACAAUUUGAUGGAUAACUGGCUUUGAAAUCCUUCUUUUUAUUAUUUAUUUAUAUUAAGAAAUGGUUUGAAUGUUUGAUAAUGCAUAGUUAAACAUUUUUCACUGAGGGCCACAUCGCAGUUAUGUUUGGCCCCAGAGGGCCGCUUCUAACAGUGAAUACUAUUACAUCAUUUUUUCAAUGCAUUUUAUUAGUAGAUUUUUUUUUAAUUAAAAUGUAAAAAAAAAAUGGUAAAUUGCAAUAAUUUCACCUCAAAAUGUAGUGUAUAUAAUUGUAAAUGGGGAAAAAAAAUGCUGUUUUCAUGGUAAAAAAAAAAAAUUCUACUGUAAAUUUAAAAAAAACUGCAAUUUUACAGGAAAAUGUUUGCACCUGAGCUGCCAAUUUUCUUUUUUUUUUAUACCGCAAAUCAACAACUGUACAUUUUUCGGUGUAUUACUGUAAAUGCCAAAACGGCACCACAGUUUAUUACAGUAAAAAAAAAAGUAACAUUUUUUUUUCAUUUAGAGGAAAAUUGCUGUAAAAACCGCAGUAAAUUUCACAAUUUUACCAUGAAAUCUAUUGCUACUUUUACAUUGCACAAUUUGAUGGAUAACUGGCUUUGAAAUCCUUCUUUUUAGUAUUUAUUUAUAUUUAAAAAUGGUUUGAACGUUUGAUAAUGCAUAAUUAAACAUUUUUCACUGAGGGCCACAUCGCAGUUACUACAUAAUUUUUUCAAUGCAUUUUAUUAGUGGAUUUUUUUUUUUAUUAAAAUGUAAAAAAAAUAUGGUAAAUUGUAAUAAUUUCACCUCAAAAUGUGGUGUAUAUACUUGUAAAUGGGAAAAAUAAGUAUUGCUGUUUUCAUGGUAAAAUUGUUUUUUUUUUACUGCAAUUUUACAGUAAAAUGUUUGCACCUGAGCUGCCAAUUUUCUUUUUUUUUUUUAUACCGCAGAUCAACAACUGUACAUUUUACAGUGUAUUACUGUAAAUGCCAAAACGGCACCACAGUUUAUUACAGUAAAAAAAAGUUAUGUUUUAUUUUUUCAUUUAGAGAAAAAUGCUGAAAAAAACACAGUAAAUUUCACGAUUUUACCAUGAAAUCUAUUGCUACUUUUACAUUGCACGAUUUGAUGGAUAACUGGCUUUGAAAUCCUUCUUUUUAGUAUUUAUUUAUAUUUAAAAAUGGUUUGAACGUUUGAUAAUGCAUAACUAAACAUUUUUCACUGAGGGCCACAUCACAGUUAUGUUUGGCCCCAGAGGGCCGCUUCUAACAGUGAAUACAUUACUACAUCAUUUUUCAAUGCAUUUUAUUAGUAGAUUUUUUCAUUAUUAAAAUGUAAAAAAAAAUAUGGUAAAUUGCAAUAAUUUCACCUCAAAAUGUAGUGUCUAUAAUUGUAAAUGGGAAAAAAAAUGCUGUUUUCAUGGUAAAAAAAAAAAAUUCUACUGUAAAUUAAAAAAAACUGCAAUUUUACAGGAAAAUUUUUGCCCCUGAGCUGCCAAUUUUCUUUUUUUUUUAUACCGCAAAUCAACAACUGUACAUUUUUCGGUGUAUUACUGUAAAUGCCAAAACAGCACCAAAGUUUAUUACAGUAAAAAAAAAAAGUAUCGUUUUUUUUAAUUUAGAGAAAAACACUGUAAAAACCGCAGUAAAUUUCACGAUUUUACCAUGAAAUCUAUUGCUACUUUUACAUUGCACAAUUUGAUGGAUAACUUGCUUUAAAAUCAUUAUUAGUAUUCUAUUUAAAAAAUGGUUUGAAUGUUUGAUACUACAUUUUUGCGUAAUUAGAUAAUAUUUUAGUUAACAUAAUCUGCGAUUACAUGGAGUACAUAUCUUGUUUUUCCUCCCAAAAUAGAAAGAAAGACUACAUUUGGUAAGAAAAGUUACAGUACUUUAUGGAUAUUAUUUCCAGGCUUUUGAGGGCCCAAAAAAAUGAAGUGGCGGGCCAUGUCUGGCCCCCGGGCCUUGAGUUUGACACCUGUGCUCUAUACCCACUCCACUUCAUCCAAAGACAACUCUGAGGUGUCAUGUGAUCAAUGGGCCAUGAAAAAUUUGGUUUUAUAAGUUCCUGGAUCUAUUUGAAACAGUUUAUUUCAUUACAAUAAAUAAACACCUGGAACAACAAGGGCACCUAAAGUACCAUUUGACUUUUAAUUAGUCAAUCAAUCAAUCAAUCAAUCAAUCAAUCAAUCAAUGUUCAUUUAUAUAGCCCGAAAUCACAAGUGAUUGCCGAUUGUAUUGUACCAUAUGUCCCGGCAAGAAAUCUGCGUUCAAAAGACUCCGGCUUAUUAGUGAUUCCUAGAGCCCAAAAAAAGUCUGCGGGCUAUAGAGCGUUUUCCGUUCGGGCUCCAGUACUCUGGAAUGCACUCCCGGUAACAGUUCGAGAUGCUACCUCAGUAGAAGCAUUUAAGUCUCACCUUAAAACUCAUCUGUAUACUCUAGCCUUUAAAUAGACCUCCUUUUUAGACCAGUUGAUCUGCCGCUUCUUUUCUUUUUCCUAUGUCCCCCCCUCCCUUGUGGAGGGGGUCCGGUCCGAUGACCAUGGAUGAAGUACUGGCUGUCCAGAGUCGAGACCCAGGAUGGACCGCUCGUCGAGACCCAGGAUGGACCGCUCGUCGGGACCCAGGAUGGACCGCUCGCCUGUAUCGGUUGGGGACAUCUCUACGCUGCUGAUCCGCUUGAGAUGGUUUCCUGUGGACGGGACUCUCGCUGCUGUCUUGGAGCCACUAUGGAUUGAACUUUCACAGUAUCAUGUUAGACCCGCUCGACAUCCAUUGCUUUCGGUCCCCUAGAGGGGGGGGGGGGGGGGGUUGCCCACAUCUGAGGUCCUCUCCAAGGUUUCUCAUAGUCAUCAUUGUCACUGGUGUCCCACUGGGUGUGAGUUUUCCUUGCCCUUUUGUGGGUUCUUCCGAGGAUGUUGUAGUCGUAAUGAUUUGUGCAGUCCUUUGAGACAUUUGUGAUUUGGGGCUAUAUAAAUAAACAUUGAUUGAUUGAUUGAUUGAAGUGUCUCAAAGGGCUGCACAAACCACAACGACAUCCUCGGUACAGAGCCCACAUAAGGGCAAGGAAAAACUCACACCCAGUGGGACGUAGUGAAAACAAAAAUCUCAAGGCCCCUAAAAUCAUUUGUUCAACCAUUUUUAAUGGAGAAAAAAAUAACUCUGACAGUUAGAAAGGGACAAACCACAAAAGAAAAACGCCUGAAACAUAACUAAUAUUUUUAGAGUGCUGCCCAAACCAAACUAUUAGAAUCACUAAAUGACUGAUUUUAUGUGUAUAAAAUGUUGCACAAAUUAACCUUCUGUGUAGUUUCAUAAUGGUGUAAAUUAAAUUUGAUUGUAUCUUAAUUUAUUUUCAGUUUUUUUGUUGUUUUUGUUUUAUAUUGUAUCUUGUUUUGGUGCAUUUUUCAUGUAUUGUAUUAAUUAUACAGUACAACACUGGUUCGAGGGUUUUUGAAAUGUUAUACGAAUAAAGUUGAAUUGAGAUUGCA